UUUGUCACUGGCAAAGCAAAGCA
rnacentral:piRNA from 1 species